UUCCUGCAAUCAGCGGGAGACUGUCAGAAGGCCCAGUCCAAGACCAUAAGGGCUUCACGGGGCAGGAGGCAUGAUGAGCUGACCCACCACCCUGCCGCUCGGUAUCUCCCACCUCCGCCUCCCUAACCGCCCAGUUCCUCCAGAAGCGGGGCGCUAGGAUUGGGGAGACUCCUCCUCCUCCUUUCACCCCGCCCGGCAGGUGUAGGCAGCCUCCUGGAUCUCACCUGACCGCCAAUGCUGACAUCAAAGAACACCACGGGGUUAACAGGACUUGAAUUUGCCACCGCCAUGGCUCCGACCCGGAAGCAGAAGUCGGGAGCGUGGGAUUCCGGCGAACCUAAAGCCCGGUCCGCGGAUUUCGUCCGGGGAGCAGGCGCGGUAGACGUGGAGCGAGACCAGGCCCCGCCCCCGGAAGCUGUCGCGCCGUGCGGUGUGUGCUGAGGCUGCUGGGGUCUAGCUGGGAGACUGCCUGGCACUGGGGACGCGGGAGUGAGGAGGAGGAAAGCCUUCACGUCUUUUUGGUUAAGGUCAAUGGUCACCCCGCUCACGUGGCUGUACUAAGGGCAGUACAAGUUGAUCUUGCUCUAGCUAGGACUUUUGGACUAGGCAGUCGCCAGGGUCCUCCUUAUCGGCCUCUGCACCGCCACACGUGCUGUCUGUCUUCUGCCCGCUAGUCUGUGAACACCGUGAAGGCAGGAACUCUGGUUUGUUCAUCCUCAGCGUUUAGAACAGCUUGGCACGUAAAGGCUUGCUAAGUAAAUAUCCCUUCCUCCAAGUCAAGACAAUAGAUUAUGUUUCAGUUCUGCCACAAGCUACCAGUUUUGUCAUUUCCAAUUCAUUUCCCAUAAAGCAACUAGAGUUUUUUAUGUUUUAUUUUUAAAAUAACUCGUGCUUCCUAUUUAUUUUUAAAAUAACUCCUGGCUUCCUAUAUUUAGAAUAAAAUCCAAUUGCUUA